GACGAACGCUGGCGGCGUGCUUAACACAUGCAAGUCGAACGGAAAGGCCCUGCUUUUGUGGGGUGCUCGAGUGGCGAACGGGUGGGUAACACGUGAGUAACCUGCCCUUGACUUUGGGAUAACUUCAGGAAACUGGGGCUAAUACCGGAUAGGAGCUCCUGCUGCAUGGUGGGGGUUGGAAAGUUUCGGCGGUUGGGGAUGGACUCGCGGCUUAUCAGCUUGUUGGUGGGGUAGUGGCUUACCAAGGCUUUGACGGGUAGCCGGCCUGAGAGGGUGACCGGCCACAUUGGGACUGAGAUACGGCCCAGACUCCUACGGGAGGCAGCAGUGGGGAAUAUUGCACAAUGGGCGGAAGCCUGAUGCAGCAACGCCGCGUGCGGGAUGACGGCCUUCGGGUUGUAAACCGCUUUCGCCUGUGACGAAGCGUGAGUGACGGUAAUGGGUAAAGAAGCACCGGCUAACUACGU
rnacentral:rRNA from 1 species